rnacentral:piRNA from 1 species
UGCCAGUUGUCCAAGACUCUUCAAGCCU